rnacentral:rRNA from 1 species
UACGUAGGGUGCAAGCGUUGUCCGGAAUUAUUGGGCGUAAAGAGCUCGUAGGCGGUCUGUCGCGUCUGCUGUGAAAAUCCAGGGCUUAACCCUGGACCUGCAGUGGGUACGGGCAGACUAGAGUGCGGUAGGGGAGAUCGGAAUUCCUGGUGUAGCGGUGAAAUGCGCAGAUAUCAGGAGGAACACCGGUGGCGAAGGCGGAUCUCUGGGCCUUACCUGACGCUGAGGAGCGAAAGCGUGGGGAGCGAACAGG